CGAGACGGGAUGGAAUGACCCUUCGGGGGAAUGAAAUCCUAGAAAGUGGCGAACGGGUGAGUAACGCGUGGGUAACCUGCCCUAUGGAAAGGAAUAGCCUCGGGAAACUGGGAGUAAUGCCUUAUAAUAUACGAGAGUCGCAUGGCUUUUGUAUUAAACGCUCCGGUGCCAUAGGAUGGACCCGCGUCCCAUUAGCUAGUUGGUGAGAUAACAGCCCACCAAGGCGACGAUGGGUAACCGGUCUGAGAGGGCGAACGGUCACACUGGAACUGAGACACGGUCCAGACUCCUACGGGAGGCAGCAGUGGGGAAUAUUGCGCAAUGGGGGCAACCCUGACGCAGCAAUACCGCGUGAGUGAAGAAGGUUUUCGGAUCGUAAAGCUCUGUUAUUGGGGAAGAAAAAAGACGGUACCCAAGAAGAAAGUCCCGGCUAACUACGUGCCAGCAGCCGCGGUAAUACGUAGGGGACAAGCGUUGUCCGGAUUUACUGGGCGUAAAGGGCACGC
rnacentral:rRNA from 1 species